UGGGGAAUAUUGGACAAUGGAGGAAACUCUGAUCCAGCAAUUCUGUGUGUGUGAAGAAGGUUUUAGGACUGUAAAACACUUUUAGUAGGGAAGAAAAAAAUGACGGUACCUACAGAAGAAGCAACGGCUAAAUACGUGCCAGCAGCCGCGGUAAUACGUAUGUUGCGAGCGUUAUCCGGAAUUAUUGGGCUUAAAGGGCAUCUAGGCGGUAAGACAAGUUGAAGGUGAAAACCUGUGGCUCAACCAUAGGCUUGCCUACAAAACUGUUGAACUAGAGUACUGGAAAGGUGGGUGGAACUACACGAGUAGAGGUGAAAUUCGUAGAUAUGUGUAGGAAUGCCGAUGAUGAAGAUAACUCACUGGACAGAAACUGACGCUGAAGUGCGAAAGCUAGGGGAGCAAAAAGG
rnacentral:rRNA from 1 species